GUUGAAAACUGGGUCAAACGGUGUCAGCCGAAAUAGUCAUCUCUUCCUGUUUACACAGCCUCUGUUUAUACGGUCUGUAACGUUCGCGAAGGUCGCUUCGUAAUAUCUUUUAGUCUCUUUCAUUUCGUUGAUAUUUACUGUCGUAUCUAAAAAUAAAUCUUCAAGAUGAUGCGAAUGCAGAAGGACCGUGUCGACCCCGAAGAAGAGAAGAAGAAGGCCAGACAACAAACAAUGCAGACAGUAGCUUUCUUCGUGAUGGUGUGUGGUUUUAUACGUGCAAUUCCCAUCAUGAUGGAACGGUUCAAUUAAGUCUGGUUGAACAAGAAGACUAAAGAAACAUUUCUAGAAGAGACAGUUUGAAGACCUUAGAACAAAAUGAACUAGAUCUGCUGUUUGGUGCAGACCACAGUUAUGUCUUCAUAUGUUCAGCACCAAUCCAAAAUAUGGAAGGUGUGCAGUUUUCUGGAAUACGGUUGUAUCAUCAUAGCUUCUGUACUCCAACGAUGGAUGGUUUGGUGCAGUGUUGUGGGUUACAGUUUUCAUUCAUUAGAAGUCAUUCCAAACAUUAAAAAUACCUGUUAAUUAUGA
rnacentral:lncRNA from 1 species